GCAUAUCAAUAAGCUGAGGAAAAGAAACCAACAGGGAUUGCCUUAGUAACGGCGAGUGAAGCGGCAAAAGCUCAAAUUUGAAAUCUAGCACUUUCAGUGUUCGAGUUGUAAUUUGAAGAAGGUAACUUUGGAAUUGGCUCUUGUCUAUGUUCCUUGGAACAGGACGUCACAGAGGGUGAGAAUCCCGUGCGAUGAGAUGUCCAAUUCUAUGUAAAGUGCUUUCGAAGAGUCGAGUUGUUUGGGAAUGCAGCUCUAAGUGGGUGGUAAAUUCCAUCUAAAGCUAAAUAUUGGCGAGAGACCGAUAGCGAACAAGUACAGUGAUGGAAAGAUGAAAAGAACUUUGAAAAGAGAGUGAAAAAGUACGUGAAAUUGUUGAAAGGGAAGGGCUUGAGAUCAGACUUGGUAUUUUGUGUUCCUUAUUCUUUUUGGAUUUGGUUCCUCACAGCUUACCGGGCCAGCAUCGGUUUGGAUGGUAGGAUAAUGACAUUGGAAUGUAGCUUUGCUUCGGUGAAGUGUUAUAGACUUUGUUGAUACUGCCUAUCUAGACCGAGGACUGCGUCUUUGACUAGGAUGCUGGCGUAAUGAUCUUAAGCCGCCCGUCUUGAAACACGG
rnacentral:rRNA from 1 species